AAAAGCCUUUUUUUUUUUUUUCACGUCACCAACACAUAGACCACAAAAAGCCCUAAUCUUCUUUCUUUCCCAGCCAGUCUCUCAAAAUGCCCUAAUCUUCUUUCUUCCAUUAUUUCUGUUGAGGAGGCCGGAUCCCACCUUGUUGCUUACUAUGCCGACAACACCCAGCCAGUCUCUCCCCUGCUAAGGCUGCUAUCCAUCUCUCUCACACACACUUGGCCAAGAAUCAAGUUCACUUCAAAGCUUGCAACAAACAGUAUUGUGACAUUCCUCUUCAACAAUGAAGCUGGAAGAUUUUUGUUCACCCAACCGGAUCAUUUACCCCAUCUCUGCUUGAAGUUCUAUCUCAAAUCUCUGCCUCGCUUGAAGUUCUCUCUCCUAUCUAUCUCCAUCUCCGCUUGAAGUUCUGGUCCGACAAGGAAAGGAAAGUUGGGCGAUCUCAACCAAUUUUUACCUUGACCAACAUAGAGCUAUUUGUUCAACGCUCUCUUUACUCUCUAGAACCGAGGAUCCAGACUUACCUUCAUUCUUCAGACUGCAGAUGGAUGGUUUGACGCGGACAAAUGAGCUUGUUUUUGUUUUGGCGGCAACAAAUCUUCCUUGGGAACUAGAUGCUGCUAUGCUCCGACGUCUUGAGAAGAUCUAUUUUAACCAGCUUAUUAGGAGUAUAACAAAACCAUUACUUUUGAAGUAAGAUUAGGAGCAUAGUUCUGGUUCUCAAUCUUCAUCUCUGGCAGGUACUUGCUUGGAUUUUGUACAAUGGAUAACGAAGUGGAGGAAGUGUGAAAAAUUGAAAGUCAACUUGCGCCAGGAAUUAAUGAACAAUGUGAAGAUUGAUAUCUAUUUUUGGAAAAUAUUAAAUUUUCUUUUUAAUUUUGGCACGUUGAACAAUUAAUGAUGAAUUGUAAAUUAAUGUCUUACUUUUUUGAUAUAUAUUUAAUAGUGAAUUUAAACAUGAAUUGUUUUUGGUA